rnacentral:misc_RNA from 1 species
CUGAAAAAAAAUGCAGACCAAUUACGAAGUAAGACAUCAAUUCCAACAAACAACAGAUGCGAGAAAAUGAAAUGAAUAUUCAACUGCAUAGGAUAACAUGACUAAUGGAUUGAUCAAAUGAAACUAAUCACUUAAUGGAUUCAUUACAAAGAAAACAUUUGAACCUGACACAAGGAUACAAAUAAUGAGGUUGGUUAUUACAUCAUAAAACAGAAAAUUGUCCAUUUUGCUUGCCCCCAAGCCAAAAACAAAAGAAGGGUUCUUGUAAGAUUGCAUGAGCUACAGGGACCAAUGGUUUGUAGUAGAGAGAGAGAGAGAGAGAG